rnacentral:rRNA from 2 species
UGCAGCAACGCCGCGUGCGGGAUGACGGCCUUCGGGUUGUAAACCGCUUUUAGUAGGGAAGAAGGGCUUCGGCUUGACGGUACCUGCAGAAAAAGGACCGGCUAACUACGUGCCAGCAGCCGCGGUAAUACGUAGGGUCCGAGCGUUGUCCGGAAUUAUUGGGCGUAAAGAGCUCGUAGGCGGUUUGUCGCGUCUGCUGUGAAAUCUGGAGGCUCAACCUCCAGCCUGCAGUGGGUACGGGCAGACUAGAGUGCGGUAGGGGAGAAUGGAAUUCCUGGUGUAGCGGUGGAAUGCGCAGAUAUCAGGAGGAACACCGAUGGCGAAGGCAGUUCUCUGGGCCGUAACUGACGCUGAGGAGCGAAAGCGUGGGGAGCGAACAGGAUUAGAUACCCUGGUAGUCCACGCCGUAAACGUUGGGCGCUAGAUGUGGGGACCUUUCCACGGUUUCCGUGUCGUAGCUAACGCAUUAAGCGCCCCGCCUGGGGAGUACGGCCGCAAGGCUAAAACUCAAAGGAAUUGACGGGGGCCCGCACAAGCGGCGGAGCAUGCGGAUUAAUUCGAUGCAACGCGAAGAACCUUACCAAGGCUUGACAUAACCGAGAACGCCCUAGAAAUAGGGAACUCUUUGGA